GAGAGAGAGAGAGAGAAAUCACUCCAACAAUAAAAUUAAGUAUUGAAUUGGCUUGUUCCUGCCUUUGCCACCCUUCACUUCAUGUCUUUUCCUAUUCUAUCCCUCUAGUUUUCUGUCUUUACUUUGUCUUGGAUUUUCCUUUUUAAAUGAUAAGUUGUGAUCAAUGCCUCACAGUUUUGAGUGAAAAAAAUAUUUCAAGGUAGGCACUGGAGGUAAUCUUCAGUGUAGAGUUACUGUCUAGCAGGCAUGAAAUUCUAGCUUCAAUCACAGUGCUCAUGCGCAUGCAUACACAUGUGUGUGAAUGUGUAUACACGUAUGAAUAUGCACAUGCACACAGAAUGAGAAACUUAGACUCUUAGAGCUACUGAAGUGACAGGAGUUAGGACUCCUUUUCCACUCUUAGCAGGUGUGUGAUUUUCUGAAUUUUCUGUAAGGCUGCAGUAUCACUGAAGAACCUUUUUAGUUUUUCCAUUUUGAACAUAUGAGUUAUUACACCCCCCCCCCCCCGUUCCCAGGAAAAUCAUAUUUCAAGUACAUUGACUUACUAAGAUACCAGCCUUCUUGUCUUCCAUAAUACUACCUAUGUAAAAGUAGGAAAAAUAUAGACUAUGGUAUCUUCUUGGUAAAAUCAUCUGAAGUGAUAUAAUGGUCAAAUGUAAACAAAGGAGCCAUUUUAAUGGUGUACUGAAGACACUCCUGGUAUUUAGGACAUUUGUACCUAAAGAUACCUGGUAUUAAAUACUCAGAAGAGCUGUCUACAUUAGAUAUAUGAUUUCAAGGAUUUAUGUGGUAUUAGAGUAUUUACAAGAUGUUCUCACACAUUCUCUUCUGAAUGCGAUCAGGAGUCUGUUGCUACAAUGUCCCAUGACCUAGCCACUGUUAAUUGAGGACAUUCAUAAAAGGAUACAAAGAAAAGCAGGAAAUGAGAACCAGCCUCAGAGAAGCCACUUAAAAACACCACAGUUCUGUUAGUUUGAGCAUAUCAAAUGGCUGCUUUGAAUGUCAACUCAGCAAAUCUGUGCUCCGAAAGAUCAAGUUGAGGUAUGUAGGGUUGAAGGGGAAGGCCAGUUGUUUAGGAUCCCUGGAGCUCUGAAAGAUACAGGCAGUUAUUGGACAUUUGUAUUUCUAUCUGACUGCCCACAGGUAACAGUGGCACACAGACUUCCAUCCUGGCACCUGCCUCCAGCAUUUCUUUGGAUUCAGUAUACGCAUGAAUUUGGAUUGCAGUUUUCUGAUCUGGGUGUCUUCUAUCCAGUUUAAGGGCUGAUAUAUAAACUGUGUCUCUUGACCCUUCCAAACUGGAUGAAGAAAAGCCAGUGCAGCAGGUAGUGCCUUCUCCCCCUCCCCCCAACCAACCCCAGCUGUAGAUGAAAGAACAUGAAACCCAGUGACUCAAAGCAGACUUUAUGAUCUGAUGGCUGUCACUAUUUACCCAGGUAAAUUGAGCAGUAGUUGAAGUUUGAAAAAUAAAAACAACAAGCAAGGACUGAAACUAACUGCACUGAGGUGUCGGUGUGGAGGGCAGGUAAGGUAGAUUAAUAACUGGCCACUCCUAACAAGGUUUGGGCUCUUACUGUCAGAGGGUAAUAAUUAAUGAUCAAGUGUUAAUGGAGAUACUGGGCUGUUGAUGUCAUUAAUUCAGCUCAGUGGAGCCAGUUCUGCCUGGGACCUGCCACAGCUGUCACCGCAUUGGCUUAAUUAUUCUAGUGCCUUCAGGCUUUUUGCUUUCAGUUUUUUCCCUUUACCCUUUUUGCCUUACUAACUAUAGGACAUUGUUCUUUCCCUGACACAAAAGUAUGGAGAGUGUCCAGCUCCCUGGGCAGUGCCAAGCCUCGAGAACGUGGACACCCAAAGGCAACAAAGGAGAUCAGAACUUCUUGCUUGGAUGAAAAGAUAGGAAGUCCUGAGGAAAAGACAUGUUUAAAAAGCCUGAUUGUGCAGAUGCAAUUUUGGGGGCUCUUUAAGGGUUUGUAUGUUGACCGUGAACUCUGAGCCAUGUAAAAUGUCAAAGUGCUCACCCUCAUCCACAGGAGAAUAAUUUCAACAAAGGGAAUAUACAAAGAGUGGCUUCAGAGUAUUGGUGAAACAGUACCAGCACCCCUUCGUGAAGGGACAAGGAAGUCAGCUUUGCUUGGCCAGUGGGAGCAAGGAGAAGCAGCAAGGGAAAUGUCCCCACGUUCUGUUCCUGCUGUCAGUGCUCCUCCUCAGGAGUUCAGGGAUCUGACUUCUGUGCUUUUAAAGCCUUCUUGCAUUGAGUUGCUUCUAUCUCAUGCUGCUUUGAAAAACUUUCUUUUUUUUUCUUCUGGCUUUCAAAAUACUAUUUUGAUCUUUCUCCUCUGACCUGGCCCAGUGAUAGCCACUGUCUUAAACUUUCCUCUUUGGAAAUAGAUUUAUUUAUUUUAUUUUGUACCAUGCCCAGUUUUCAAAUCGUGUAAUCUAACAAAAUCUAAUCUCCUCUCUUUAGAUGUGUAUUUCUAUGUCUGGUAAGAGGAGCUGAGCCAGUGUCUCCUGACAGGAUGCUGCUUGACUCACGUCCAGGCUGAAGUACUUAAAAAAUGCCAGGCACUACAACAAUUUUAAAUCUCUCUCUACACUGCACAUGGCUAUUUAAAAUAAUUGAAGCUCUUCAAAUUUUUAUAUGUGUUCAAAUUUGGAAGUCAUUGGUUCUGAGCAUGUGCAGGACACAAUGAUUUAAGGUUAUUAGAGUCUCCUCAAUUUAUGCUGAGUGUUCCAGCUUGAGUCGGACAGGAGAACCUGAACUGGGGCAUCUACAAGUGACUCAACAUUGUCAUUACACUCAGAUCUUGUGCAGGUGAUCAGAAUUAUGGACACUUGUUUACUUUUUGAGAAAAGCACUGUAAAAAUGACACUUUUUUUCAGUUCAAACGAUAUUAUUAGCCCAUGAGAGAACACUUAAAUUAACCACUUAAAGAGCACCAUAACCCAGUUUUACUUUCACUGUCAUAGUUCCCACUGAUGACCUGAUUACAACCAAAGUUGUAAAGCCAUAUGAACAUUUGGCUUGGUAAAGAACUGUUGUUUUCAGAGCACACAUGGAGAAAUAAGUCUUUGGUAAAACACCUGAUGUACUCUGAUGACGCCCCAGUCUAUAGUAGUCUACCCUUGGAGAGGAUGUAGGUUUUACUCUGAAUACUGGGAUUUUUGAAUGAUUGCAUUUCGCACACAGUUUAAUGUUUAAUUUCAAUGUCUUAAAUAAAGAACUUUUAUUAAAUGUGA